ensembl:lncRNA
GUCCGGGCCGCUCCGCGCGGGGCGGGAGUCCGCCGCCUUCCACUGGCUGCGCGCGGCUGCUGCUAGCCCGUCAGGCGCGGUGGCCAAGUGGUAAGGCGUCGGUCUCGUAAACCGAAGAUCGCGGGUUCGAACCCCGUCCGUGCCUGCCGAGGGAGCGCGGCUCGCGCGCUGCAGCCACGUUCCCAGCACACGGGUUCUGCACGCCAUGGGGAGCAGCCAGCAGGUGUUUGUGGGAGGAGCUGCAGUCCAGAGACCUGACCUCAGGUGUGGAUGUGUCCCCUGCUGAUGGGGGACCUGUCUGCCCUGUGCCUGAUCCAGUUACCUCCAAAGCACCGCACGCUCACACUCAAUCCUUCCAUGCAUGGAGCUGUGCUGCUCAACUCGGUGUAGCUGUUCCUGCUGUGAUCUUCAGUGAGCAUCACUGUGAUUGCUGACAGCUCGUACAAAUACGUUAGAAGAAAUUCUAAAUGAAAAUUAGGUGUGGCUUCGUACAGCAAUGAGAGGGGCUGAGGCAUUUGCUGUGUGCCAGGCUGGCUGCUGCCAUGGAGCAUCAUUCGCUGGUGAGACAGGUGAGGACAUUCAUCUUGUGCUGCACGUGGCCGGGACCUUGGGCUGCCCGAACCUCAGCAUUCCCAUUGCAUGCAGAACAGCUGCGCCGGCCCCGUCCGUGUCCCUGGAGAUGGCAUGUUUGAACGGCAGCAACUCCAAACACGGCGCAGCUCUGCAGCUCAGCCCCAUUGUUCUGAGGCUGGAUGUAACACAGCGCAAGUGAGCCCUGCAGAGCGCCUGGGCCUGCCCCGGACAGGGGCACCCGAGCCGUGUGAGAUGGCUGCUCGUAGCACACUUUGUGGGUUAUGGAGACAGUGUCGUGUUUGUCCUAACCUGUAACUGCUGGGAAUGGGUUCUUCGUUGAGGGGCAGGGCAUUUUUAAUGCAAGAGGGGGAGAAAAAAAAUAGUGCUGCGAGUCCUCAGUGGUUCCCUGCUCUGCUCCAAAGGCCCCGGGAGCCCCAGAGCAGCUCCCAGAGCUCUGUCCUCAAGGGCAGAGUGCUUGCCCAGCCCACGGGGCUUCCCACAGCAUGCAUGGGGCUGGUGUGCCCAUCCAGCACCCCACAGCGAGCUCAGGGAAACAGCAGGGCAGGAGCACCCAUGGGAAUCUGCCUAUGGAUUUUGUUGAGUCCACUGCCAUCAACAUUCAAAUUACCAAGGAGUUAAAAGAAAAGUGCUGCUCCUUGCCCUAUGAACAUGCUGGGUUGGGCUGGGAAUUCCAAGAGGAUUUGUAAAUGAGGUUGAAAAUUCCCAGCCAACCACUUGGCACCUUUUUAGUAGGAAAAAUAUAGCUCUUAAAAAUCUCAUAAACUGAAAGCGGUUGAGAAAUCAGUGGCAAUUACCUAAUUGAACCCCCAGCUUUAUUAAUAAAUCAAGAACAACUGCUCGUGCAGCUGGGCGGGCGCUGUGACCCCCUCCCACCGCCGCGGGGCUGCGUCACAGUGCACACACAGCAGGUGCUCACCGGCGCUGGGAUCCCUGUGUUUAAUGGGCAAAGUGCGGUGCACUGAGUGCUGGCAGGACAGGCCAUUGCUUCAUUUUGCCCUGGUGAUUUGGGGGGCGUUUGAGGGUUGCUUACGGUGAGGUGCGCUCUGUCUGAUGGCAUUUCUGCCGAGUGACAGACGAGCCAUCUGGCGUUAUGCUGAAGUGCAGCGCAGCGUUUGCUUAGGAGGGAGCCUGCAGUGAUGACAAAGCAGUUCUGGACCUCCACUGCCUGUGUCACGGCCGGUCAGCACGGCUGGGCUGCUGCUGGCAGAUCAGCAAAGCCAGCAUGAGGUGGCAGAGCCAUGCUGGAGCGAAAGGAGCCCAUCAGACCUCUGCCCUCCUAGGGACGUGGAGGGGACUGAGCGGCAGCAAGAAAAAUGAGGGACUUUCAGGGGCAGCUGUGUUUUACUAACCCAGUCAUAAUGCCCCUAAAAAUCCUUAUUGUUCUUGCAAUGGUCAACUGUGACCUCCGGCACAGGGAGGCCUGGAAGGUAAGCACGAGUGCUGGGCGCAGGGCGAGCACGGUAGGGCAGGUCUGCCUUUGGGAAGGCUUGCUUGCAAGCUGGAGUGGUGUUACAGGCUGGGGGAGGAGUUUCUGUCAGAGUGGAUUGGAAAAGAUUCACUGUUAAUUGUGGUAUGGAGAGUGCACUGUUGCAUGAAUCUCAGGGCAUGAGAACUGGAAGGCAAAGUGAGAGAAAUGAAAGAAACCAAGCACUUUCCCUCCCUCUUGUAUCUGUCUCUCAUUUCUGGCUAUCACAUCAAAAUGCAGCCAGAGACGUUCUCAAACCAACCCUGGAGACACGACCCCUGACCGCAGCACUCCAGCAGGAGCGUGGCUGGUUAAGAGCAAGGUGUUGGGGAGCAGGGGGGGGUGCACCCCGAGCCACCGGUCCUUUACUUAGCAUUAGAAAUUACUCCACUGGUUGCAGGACAGUCACGGGAUGUGGGAAGGUGGCCGUGCAGCAUCACCAGCGUGCUGGGCAGCAGGGAGCACCGACUGCCCCACCAGGCAGCGCCUGCCUGUCACUGCGCCCCUGUCCUGCACAGCUGUGUGCCUGCCGACAGAAGGGCUCCAUCCUGCAAUGCUCCUGCUCAUGUCCUUUCCUCUAACAUCCCAGGGCUGCGCUGCCAUAAAUGCUUUCAGUCAGAAGUAUUUAAAAAGCUUGUUUUCUCAGAUUCCAGGACAGUGAUGUGUGCUAGCUUCUUACAUUAUUGCAUCUGCAUUUCUUUCUUUUUUUUUUUUUUUUUUUUCUUUUCUCUCUCAGUAUUCAAUUUUCAUGUUUGGGAAAGCGUUGGUGGUUUUAGACUUAAUGCCUUUCAUUACGCUGGGAACUGCCCUCUCCUUGCUAACUCCCUGCUUUCCUCCUCUUCCUGCUGAACUGCUCUCAGUCAUCGCAGCUCUCUGCUCAUCCCCAUCGCCUCAUUCUGAGCUUCUUUCCUGCUUAGGGCAGACGGAGAUGCAGUAAUUGCACAAAGAGAAGCAAUUUGUUAAACAGAACUGUAAUAUUCAAUUAUCCUCCAUCAUGCAUUCUAACACCUUGUUUGCAUUUCUGAGAGCUUGUAUGUGUUGCGUUUUUAUUUUCACUGAACCCUACAACAGUGUUCAAAGCUUUUCCCCCUUUAAUAACUCUACCAAGGGAGAUGGAUAACCAAAUUAAGCUGGCUCCACAACAGUAACUGUCCUUUUCCCAGCGUCUGGUUGCUUUAGUCAUUACCUUUUUGAAAGGGCUUUGUGUACCAAUUAAUUGGUAUGUUUAUCAAUGAAUUCUGCUUCACGUGGCUGUGCCAAUAGAUUAGAAAUGCAUGCCUAUUUUUCUUUUUUUCCCUUCUCUCUCCCCGGACUGCACAGACUUGCCUUUGCACAUCACUUACCUAUUUUUAAUUGGGCUACGUGGCUCUGGAGCAAGAAUUACUCAUUUGUUAUUUGUCAUUCUCAGGAACAUUUCAACUGCUUCUGUUAGAGCUGAAUUCUAUGUAAAGGAGAAGUGACUAGAAACCCCAGACUGGGUCCCAGGUCUUGCUUAACUUUGUAAUGCACGCUGACUUGCUGACGCGACUCCAGUUAAGGUAUGGUAUGAAUCAGGAGCUCCAACAGCCGCUGCGGAAUGAGCGCGUUCACAUGAAGUCAUCCUGCAGCAGCUAUUGCAGAAUAGUCAACUGCUCUGUGUAAGCAAGCCCUAAAAGCCAAUCCUGGUCCCAGCGGCUGUGUGACUAGGUAAGGGAGGUAAAGGGCACAAGAAAGGCACCCUUCUGUCAGCUAUGGAUGGGCUGGGAGCAAAGAAACCCGUGCUGCUCAGGGCUGCCUUGCAGGCCGCUGCUUUUGGAGUGGUUUGGUUCAGGACUUUCUGCUUUGAUGCCUUUGAUUUCUGAGACUGGCCCUGCGUACGAAGCCGCAGACUGUUUCCUCAUUUAGCCAGUGCAGUGUCUUCACCUGAUACCGAAACAAGAUGGAAGGAAUUGAAUGUUUCCCCCGGUGUGGCUGGAAUUGAUCUGCUUUUAACCCAUUAUCUACCGAUGGAAUAAACAGAAGCAGCUCCACUACUACCAGGAUGGAGAACAACCACCGACUCUUAGUACCGGAAACAGGAAGAUCCAGAAGGGGUUUUUGUUCCUACGUUACAAUUUUUAUCUUUAGUAUUCACAUCAUACUCAAAGUAAGAAUAUUUAUAUGCUAAAAUAAACCCCUUUUUGCUUUGUGAUACUGGAUUGAGCCUGCCCACCUUCUUCCUAUCACAGCUCUGACCCAUGGAGAGAGCCAAGUGGUGGAUGUGGAGGUCAGAAGGGGCCCUCCGAAUGCAGGGGAUGCACACAGAGCAAUCCUGCAGCCCGUCCUGAAGCCGGUGCAUGGAUGAGUGGAUCUUUCUCUCAUGUGCUAUGGGAACUCUGCCUAUAUAAAUGUCUGACAAACUCUACCAGUGCUUUAUAACCUUGUGUCUUCUACCUUCUGGUAAGCCACAAUUUCCUGCUUAUGCAUCUCUGUGGAAGAAGCCCUUCAUAUAUGUGACUGCAUGUGGUGAAUAGGAGAGCAAGAAGAGUUGGUGUUAUUUUUAUCCUAUCUGUUCUCAAAACAGCUCUCCCAGUCACACACCCCUCCAAUAGCCUUGGAGUGGAGGGCAGGUGCAGAGCCCUGUGGGGACACUUGGUACUUGGCCAGGGGCUGGCAGGCAGGAGGGCUCCUGCAUGCCCUGCAGGUGGGAUUCCUGCUCCAUUUCACUGCAGGGCAUUCUGGGCAGACCUGUGAGUCCAAUUCUGUGUGCCCAGGCCAAAGCAUUACGAUUUCAAGGACAAAUUUGGCUGUUCCUUUUGAAACUUCACUGUCAUUUAGCACCUCCAGUCUGGCUUGGAAAAAUGCAGAAAUUCCUAUAAUAAAUGUGUUUUGAAAAGUAUACACAGGCAAUCAUGAUUUUUUCAGUCAGUCUCAAGUGAUGCCAUCCACUUCUACUCUGCUUAAGUGCUGCCCUGGACUUCUUGAAGUUGCCAUCCCUGGCAUAUGCUAAGUAAGUAGUAUGAACAUUUCAAUAGACCUUGCCAAAACAAAGCAUCCCCUUCUGGCAUGCAGAUAAUUCUGCAUGGAUAGCAGAAGAUGUACUAAGCUUGAGCCACUGUUCAUAUUUCUUUGCACAUCAAAGCAAUUGCACCAGCAUCUUUCAAGCACCCAUGUUCCAGGCUGCAAGGAGUCUCUGGCUGCACAGGGCCUUUCUGAAUUGCCCUGUGAUGUUAUCGACUGCUUUCAGUGCACAACAUCUGCCUGGAAUAAUUUAAUGUGGUGCUUUCAGUCAAAUAGAAAUUGCAUGUCAGCCACAUGAUCUGAAUUAGACCAGUGCAGGAAAUAACAUUUUGCAGGCAAAUUUGGUGCCUUCUUUCACUGGAGCCCUUUGGUACUUGGCUGUAGUUUUCGAUGAAUAGCUGUUUCAUGGAGGAAAUAUGGUAAUUAAGGCAAACUUUCUUCAUGUUUUAAACUACUUUCAGCAAAACUAGAAAUCCAAGCUGCCAAGCAACCUUUAGUUUUAGCAGAUUACUGCUGGUCUGUGUCUUUUUAAUUAGGCCAGAGUCAAUCAAGUUUAAUUAAGAGAAUUGGUGGGACAACCAGGACAGCCUUCCCAAGAGCAGGACUCUGUUCUGGGGCCCAGUUGGUACUGGUUGAGAUUUGGUUCUCUAUAAAGACAAAGAAAACAAAAUAAAACCUCAGCAAAAUGAAUAGAUGUCACGAGUCUCAAGCACACAGACAAAGGACAGGGUUUGACCAUCAGUCUGUAGGCAGAAGGGCUGUCACAGACAGCCAGUCACAAUAUAUUCUGAUCUUUUGGUCAGCACAGAUGCUACCUGCAGUACCAAGCUUUGGCUCUGUGGCGAAUGAGAAGCAAAUCUACGGAUUCCAGUGCUUGUACUUCCAGGCUGUUAUGGCUUGCUCUUAAAUGGGGAAAGGAAGCCAAAGGAAAUCAUGUGCAUUGGAGUCAAAUACCAUUUUUAGGAGUGGGAACUGCAUGAGUAUUUCACCAGUGAUUAAAAUAGCCAGGGACCAGGGCACACUAAUGAUUAAUGAUCUCUUUCUGCAAGCUGAGGACAUGUCCUACAGAAUCUGGCCCUCCUGAGAGAUAGUCAUGAAGUACAGUUUGGCGGAGCGUAUUUUAAAGGCAUGAGCAAAAAUUGGUAGGUUAAUUGUUGUUUUUUAUGUUGUGGAUCUGCUGUGUCAUUUGGCUUGAAUUACUGGCCCCUAUUUCGGAAGCAUGCAGUACAUGGAAGUAGCCCUUACCAACCUGGUGCAGCCACACCACUGUCCCACUCCCAGCACAGGCAGGAGUGCGGGCUGAGAAGUUACACUAAGCUCACUGCUGCAGGUGGAACAAGGCCAUCUACACAAUUAUUCUAAAGCCCCUUUUUUUUUGACUUACCUCGUUUGCCUUCUGUGAAGGCGGCUCUCCUUAGCAGGACCCCCAGCACUCCUGAGGUCACAUCCUGCAUGCUGCAUUACGGGGAACUUGGAGGCCUGGACUGCACCUUGUCCCCAUGGCAGCUCAGAGCACAGCCCCACUCGGGAGGCCCCACCAGCCAUCCUCCAUCCCUUCACUACAUGGCAAAGAUUACUGCUGCAGGAAGGAGGCCAAGCAAGAAGCUGUGUGAUCCCUAUCAACGCACCUGCCCUCUUCCAGCAUCACACAGACACCACUGAUUUGUCCAUUAGAGAUGUCAUUUUUCCUGCACAGAAACAGCAGUACAAGGCGUUACUACAAUCAAACUUCAGUUUCAAGUGAGGAACUUCUGGGAGUUCCUCUUCUUUUUUUUUUUUUUUUUUUUUCCAGCUGCAGGGAAGGGUGAAAACUAUCAGCUAUACAAAUAUUACAGUUUAUGCUGUUAAAUAAAUCAUAAUUUGUCAACAGGUAGCUGAAUUAUGGCCAAUUCCACUGAGAGCCAAAACUGAUCUUCUUUCCCAGUGCUAUUGUAUAGUAACAGCUGGCAGAACACUGUCAAGCAAAGCUGUGCUGUGCUAAGCUGAUAAAUAAACCAGUGAGCCUCAGUGUAGGAGCCACAUCAUCUCAUGGAGAGACUGCAGCUCAUGCUGGAAUGUGUUGCACAAAUGCUUGUUAACAGUCUACACACAGGCAGAGAGUUGCUUUAUGAAAAGGUGUUAGAAAGAUGUGAUUUGAAUAAGACACAGCAUUCCUAGGGUUAUCAAAAGAACCAGCCAGGUUUCAGGUCUCAGAGUACUAAAGCACAGCAGCAAGCCAGCCAAUGUUAGCAUUUCUUGUUCAUUCAAAUGGAGAGUCUGGUAACCGGAUUCUGGAUGAGUGGAAAGUCCCAACAAGUUCUAAGAUACAGCAAGGCAAGCCAGAAAACCAACAGAGAGAAAUGUGUUUCUAUUUGUUUCACAGCUCCCAAAUUCUGCUGGAGAGUUUUGCACUCUUCAGUUGUUUCUGAGGCAGAAGGAGACCUCCUCUGAUUGCAGAUGCUGUGUUGCUUUAAGCCAAUCAGACUACACUGUCCCGGGUGGGAGAAGGAAGGGUAACAAGUGCCAGUGCCCCAUCAGGAGAUACAGCUUCAUGCUGGAGCUCAGAGCCUCGUGCAGCCGGCAGAUAACUCUGUGUGUUUUAUACUUAACACCACUCUGGUUUUGUCCUUGCUUUGCAGGCAUUUUAUUUUUAUCGUGGGUAAGAACAGGAACAUGUGCAUUUCUGUGAAAGGCCGAGCACAGGGCUGCAAGCUCCAUCUCAGUGCAAAUAAUACUUUGGCAGGAAACCUGCAGGAGAUUAAAUUAGGGACCUAAAGACUGAAUAUUAAAACAUUUCCAACUUUUGAGUUCUUUUAAAUAAGCAGCUACAAAACAAAGCAGUCUGACAAAAUUAGCAGGACCGAAGUGCUAAAGGAACCCACUAAGGGUCAUUUAUUUGUUGAUGCAGAUUUAAGAGAACUUUUUAAGUUAUUUGUAUUAGUAGCUGUGUAUGUCAACAUGCUAUUUCCUCAAUGCAUUUUGAGUCCAGAUUAGCUAAAGUUUUAGGUGUUGGCAGACUUGCUACAAUAGAAGGGAAAUGCCACUGGAAUAACUUUAAACAUGAUCCAAUCCCUGAUGAUUCAUUGGAUGUGUUAAAAUUUCCUUUGAGACCAUGUAAGUAAUGCAGGGACUGGAGUGCAGAGUGCCUGUGACUCAGCUCUCUGCGAGGCAAAGGGAGGAUGUCAGAAUUGCUCACUGGGACUGGAGGAAUCUCAUUUAUCUAUUUAUAGGCAAGGCUGAGAUGAGCUCGUGCCAUUGAAGAGCUGAAUUUGCCAGUUCUCUUGGGGGGAGGAAAAGGGAAGGCCCUCCUGUUAGCUGGUGGGGCUGCUUCCAAACCCAAGGACUCUGGCCAGCUGCAUUUUCUUGCCCUCGGAUGAGCAGCGUGGGGCACCUGGUGCAGACCUGUGGGAGAGCAGAGCAGCCCCAGCCCCCGGCACCAGCUGCUGCUCAGCCCCUGCUCCAGAGGGGCUGCAGGACCAGCAGGUCCCGUGCCCUGAGGUCAGGGGGCUCUUCCCACUGCAGGGGCAUCACUGCAGCACGCGUGUAUGUCAGCCAGCUUCAUUUAAGAGGUGCUGGUUAGAGGCCGCUUUGCCAAAAGCCUUUUUACUGCUUCUCUUCAAAGAGGUACAGCAGUAUUCCCCGUGAGUGGGCAUUCUGCCUAACAGGGCAUCAGAAAAGGAAAGCUCCAGGGGACAGAGCGGGGAGCCGAGCACACUGCCUGCUUCCAGCCUCUGCACAGCCUGCGAGCCACUGGCAGUGCUGGGACAGCCAUUCCUGAAGGUGUGCUUUCAGCCAUGUAUAUUUAGGUUUGGGAGGUGAAAGACGGUCACACUGUGGGUAAAAAGCAAGAGCUCAAACCCACAGCGAAAUGUUUUAGUGACACUGCUUUUCUGGUACAGCUGGCACUUAGCUGUACAGCAGCACACACUGCGGCCUGGUCUUCUUACUAAGAAAGAAACCACUCCAUAUAGGCACCACACACCGCACUGCUCCAUCACUGGGAACACCUUUGUGGUGUUGGUCCGGGCUGUUCUUUCCAUUCCCUGCAUUUAGCUGCUGUGGCUAAUUCCCUUCCCAAAAAAGAAGUUAUCUAGGAACACAGGGCUCUGGAUUACUGAUCCAGCCUCCUACUGUUACAUUCAAUUACAUCAUAUCGUGCUUUUUGGCAGGUUGUCCCAGCACUUCAUUUAAAAUUUUCAGCCUUAAUAUCAUUUGUUCUUGUGCCAGCAUCAUAAUGUAGUUUAAACAAUUCUCUUUUUUCUCUGAUCUUUACCUAUCAGAUAUAUUUACUGAAAACAAUCCUAUCUCCUCUAGCCUUUGUUUUGAAAAACUAAACAAAUGAAACUCUUCUAGUCUCCUCUUGUUCCAAACCCUCUGAUCAUCCUCAAUGCCCUUCUCUGUACCUGCUAAUCUUCCUCGAACAUGAGUGAACCUGUACCUUCUAGGAUUGUGUUUGCUUCUCCAUAUCAGAUUGGUGGCUCACAGUCAUCCCUGGGAGCGAAUUAUUCUCUGUGGUUUUUUUUCCACCCCCCUGCCUUUGUCAUCUUCAAGUAAGUAAUAUGAUAUUCUAGUUAUUAAUUUCUAAAUGCAUGUCUUAAUACUUUCUCUAUUCUAUUUCAGAUGAAUUCUGUCAUUCACUCAUUGCUGAUUGAUGUUCCGAUCAUCCUCUGUAUUAACAAAGCCCGUGUCCUCAGCAGAUUUCUUUACUACAUUCCUACUGCUGUGCCAGACUCGUUAAUGAAAGAAGCAAGAGUGAGCUCAACACUGACUCCUGAGGAGUUCCACUUACUGACUGCCUCUGUCUGGCAUUUCUUCUCUGCUCAGAGCUCCCCUUUCCUCUGCACUUUAACAGGUUUGCAUUCACCAUCCACACUAAUCCCCAUCAUCUCAACUUCAACGAGUAAUUUCCCCUGUGGUAUAAUAUCAGAUUCUGGAUAGAGUAAAUCACCUGUAUUUCAUUUGCCUAAAAAAAUAAUCAGUCAUCAAAGAGAAAUAUCAGGUUAAGCUGAACUCAUUUAAUGUGCCAAAUCCUGGGAUGGAAAUCUGCCAGUGCACCUUCACCUGAGCACACCGAAUUCUUCAUGCUUUUCCUUCCACCUUACAUGUGAUAAUUUUCAUUCCCUUAUGUAUAUUCCCACUAGAAAUCUUGUCUUUGUCCCACUGCUCAAUACGAUCAUCUCUACUGAAAAUGUGGACAAAGUGUUUUUAAUUCAUUUUUAGACCAUAUGUGGAUGGGUCUUAAUCUCAACCCCAUUCUCACUCCAUAAUGACCACGUUUCUCCUCUUUUUAUUUCUCUAGCUGAAACCCUCUGCCAUCUGUUCUAAUUUCCUUUUCAAGUCCAAUUCACAAGUUCACUUUUGACAUUUUUCAUCCUGUCUCUGCCUUUCCCAUCCCAGCAGCUUCAAAUUGGAUGACUGAGGCAAAUACUGCCUUCAGUCUUCUGCUCCACCACUCUUCUCCAAUGCCAUCCUUGUGGCAGUGGCAGUAACUCAUAAGGCAGGUCCAGAACUGCUGCACUGAACACGUCACUGGAGUGGUGGCUGUUCAGGACCUGCAGGGUAAGCUGCUUUGUCAGCCCUGUGAUAAGAGUGAUGGCCUCCAUCAAAGAGCAGAGCAGAGCAGAGCAUCGUAUUCUGUAGCAGUUCCUCUCCAGACAUCUGAUUUCAAUCCUUAGCUGCAUGCCAGCAGAAUACCCUCAUGCCAAUCAGAACUUCUGCAUGUCAGUUAAUGCUCUCCACGUGUUUGGGGCUGGUUAUUUAUCCCACUGGGGUUGGAGCAUUUCCUGUCAGGGUUCAUCUUCCUGCAUGUUUCAGCUGGUUUUGGAAUCCAAGUUCCAUCACAUUCAAUUCCUCAGAUCUGCAGUGCAGCUGAUUCCACUAAUUAGCUCCCUUAACUUCUCAACAUUUGCCCUCUUUGAGAUGAGUAUGUUUUGGUGUGUCACUACAGACGGUGCUGAAGAUUCAGUCCUAAUGAGGUGCCUUUAAAAGCUCAUGUUUCUUACCCAGAGUCCUCAGAUGCUUUGGAUGACUCACAACUUGGUGCUUUAGAGACAGCGAAAGAACUGCACUUCCCUUUGUGCAGGAGACAGACUCUGUAUCAUCUUAUCAUUGCUCAAUAUUACCCAGCAUUUUCAUUCUGUAGCCAACUGAGACAAUAAAGAGCCUAAAAAGUCACAUUUCAAAAGAUACUGCACUGGAUGGAGAAUGAGUUAAGUCCCUAAAGUGAAGUCCAAAGCUUCCUACCCCCACUGAGAUCACUGCAGCACUUUGCUAACCAAUUAUGCUUACCAGAAAGCAAGGUGUCUGUACCAAGCUAUUUGCUUUGAAUUCUGCCUAUUUCCUGCAGAAAGCAAAGCCCAUCCAGACUGCAGCUGACCGGUCCGAGACACGCCGACAGGUAGCAGAGGCCUAGCUUAGAGUGCUCGUACAGCACCAGCACAAGAAGAGAGCCACGUCCACAAGGGACUUCUGAAAAAUGCAAAGCACCUUGAGAAAUCCAGGCCUUACUGCCGGGACUCUGCAUGUGAUGCAUGUCCUCUCUUUACCUGCCUCCUCAGCUGCAGAACUGCAGCAGCACUGCCCUCUUCCCAAGCCAGCAUGCGAGUGAUACAGCCACAGUGCUGGGGCUACGUUGCCAUCUGAGAUAGGUGGAAGCUGCCUUCUGCUGCCAAACUGGUGCGUGUUCAAACCCUGUAGAAAGAGCUGAAAUGGCAGAGCAAUGUAAAUUUCUCUCCUCUCUCCUCUUUCAAUGGGAGCAAAUAUGCCCCUUUCCCAAACCACGUCUGCCUUGAAUGCUCCCUGCUCUGCUGGGCACCUACUGACCUUGGCAGUGUCACAGGACCCGUGUUUUUCUGAAAGAGUAACCUCCUUGUGAAGAGGCUUAUUGCUUUGGGAAACACAAAGCAGUCUUGUCCUCCAAGUGUCCAAGCCUUCUUUUCACGUCUGUUUAUUCCUUCACUAGCAUUUAUUUUUGGCCCUGCAAAAAAAAAAAAAAAAAAAAAACACAACUCCACAUUAAAGGGAUGGUGUCCAGUUAAAACCCACAUGCUGCACCACCCCUUCACACCCCUUUGCAGAGGAAGGGAGCAGAGGAGACCAACAAAAAAACUCAAGAAGAACUGUCUUCUGUUGGGCACAAAACUGCCUUUGCUUUCUAGAGAAAAAGCAGCAGAGCAUCCUCAGAGCAUUGGUCAAAUAGGCCAAAUUCCGCAUGCCUGAGGCCUGUUUGUAUACAUAAUCACAAAUUCAAGGACCAAAUUUCCAUUUGUCCUGGAAAAUCUCUCUAGUUGGUAUUAUAAAAGGAGCCCAGGAGAGCAGGACACCAAUGUUCCGCAACGUCAUACCGAGUUUGUGGUGUGUGUAACUCUUGAGCAAUGCCAGCCUUUGCAACACAGCUUACCAAUGAUAUAAAAUCAGAAAGACAGUUUCAUGCUGCUUCUGUGCUGUCUCCACAGCUCUCUGGGACUACUAGAGCAAGAACAUGGCUUCUUAUGCAGUAUAGAAAAGCUUAUGAGGAGCAGCAGGUGAUUGAUGCCUCCUGAGGCCAGUGCCAGCUGCACUUAACUGCUGCUCAAGGCCAGUGUUAAGGCAAACAAAAGCACUUAGGCCACCAGCAGCGUAUGCUCACCUGUUUGACUUUGCAGAGAAGUAAUCACAGAGCCAGUGCCAGCUUUGUGCCUGUCGUCUCCCAGCUGAGAGCUGUGACUGUGUGUGGCCUGAUGCAGCUGCAGAAGGGCUGUCUGAGGGCUCACAAAGCUGAAGUCCGAGGCACAAAGUUCAAGUCCAAGGUCCUGUGUUGACAGUGUGUGUGGUCAAGACCUGCGUUCCUGUUGAAAGAAGGAGAGAAGGAAAGCUGGACUGCAUCAUGAGCUCUUUGUACUGGCUCUGCAAGAGCAAUUGUGCUCACUGGCAAUAUCUAUGUCUUGGACCACCCAGCAGCAUCCAGCAGCCCGGGUCGGGUAGGUGUGCUCCAUUUGUUUAGCACCAUGACUGAGUUGGGCACCUGAGGACAAAGUUAUUAAAGCAGUCUGCUCUCAAGACCUAUGUGACAGCAACUGCAUCACUGUCUGCUUUCACUGAAGUCAAUGGGACUCUGGCCACAGGCCUGAUUCCUCUCUCUCACACAUCAAUAGAUUAUCUUUCAAGUCCAUUGGCUUCUAUGAAAUUAGAGCUGUCAAGCCCUGGAUGUACACUAUGGCAUGGUUCAGCCAAAAGAAAUGGGGGACAUGAUGGAAAUUGAAACCUCUGGAAAGACUUGGCCUAUCUUGUAUGCUUAGCAAGUCAGUAGAAUAUUAAUGCUGCAUCCAUCACUCAGAGUACGUGCUUCUGGAUGCUUGGCUGACUUUGGUAAGGGGCACUUUGAGAAGGAUAAAACUGCAUUUUCAUUGCUGAGAAUCUUCCUACAGCACACAAUGUGGCCCAUGGGAUGCUGACAACCUACUGGAAUUGUCUUCAGAGACUACAUAGGGGCUAACACUGCUAAACUGUAUAAACAAGUGCUUACCCCUGAAUAUCACGUUAGUCCAAACAGGAUUUAUAAACACAGAGAUGGUCAGAGGUGGGCUGUCCUCCAAUCAGUCUGUGAAUCUAGAAAGAAAGAAAGAAAAAAGAUGACUUUGUAUUCUUUCAAUUACAUACGUUUCAUACAUAAUUAAAGUAAUCACAAAAACACAUGCAUUGUAUCAGUAAUUGGCAAAUUAAGAAUUCGGUCACGGUUGUUCAGGAACUUACAGACUCCAUGCAAUACCAAUAAUAAUUAUUUAUAACCUACUAUGCAAGGAAAUUAGUCCAGGAAAACUGACUGAUUAUAACGUAGCACAGUCACCCCAAGGGAGAAGUUGAGUGCAAUGUGCAAGGAGCAAGACAUCACACCAUUUUCUUGUCUUGUAUUAUAAACUUUACUGCAAGUAGCAUUCUGGUAUUUUGUAUUGAAUGUCUCGGUUCCCCUGUAACAAAUACCUAUUGUAUUCCUGCUGAAUUUCAUUGAAUUUACUCCUGAGUUAUACUUAAGGUCUGAGGCAGAUCCACAUUGCUGCUUUCUGUAUAAAUCCCUGAGCUGCUUAUUCACGAGGAUGUGCAGCUUCGCAAAAGAAUGAGUUGAGAGAAUGAGCUGGGUGGCAGACUGUUAGUUCUGAUGGUAUUACCAUAGCAUCCGGAGAAGCUAAAUGCAGUGCUAACUCAAGGUACAAGAAAGCUUCAGCCCUUGAAAAGAGCUAACAAAGACGAUGCACAGAAAGUGGGAGGAAGCAAAGAGGCACAGAGAAGAGAAGCGGCUGUGCAGUGUCACACAGCAGGCAACCUGGGGGGGCAGGAGCACGGCCCCGUCUCUUAGCACUUUCCAGCUUCACACUGCCUUUUGGUCCUUUCUGCAUGUGGACCUCAUGCAUCUUCAAUUAAAAGCACAACCCAAAAAUAGAAGAUCUUUUUUUGUCAAGAGAACUCGUGCUCUGCGAGUUGUGAAAACAGAUUAUUUCCCAUGAUUAAUACCUGCCUCCUCUCUGAAGACAUCCAUCUCUGCGUGGAUCGGAUUCUAAUAAAGCAAAGCUCACCUCUUAGGAAAGAAAGCUUUCCGUUUUCUUUCUGCUAACAUUUCUCCUCACCAUUGUCCCUGCAAUCCUUUUAUGAUGCAGGCCCAACAUAACUCACAGUACUUCCCAUUAUUGUGUGCCACGAGUGUGAGCAGAGCCCUUGUUGUGGUAGAUAGCAGCCUUCAGACACCCCAUGUUUCCUGUUCAACUGGAGCCAAUCGCACACUGCUUGGUACUGAAACUAAGUCCCUAAUUAAUUUAUACACAACGAGGCCAUUGUAACGAUAACGUAAUGGAGAUCAGUCCAUUAGCAAAAAGUGUGGAUAAAUUAUUUUCUUUUAAUGCUUCCAUCAACGUUAAGACCCAUUAAUCAUAUUUUAAGAAAACAACUUUAAACUUACACGCUAUUUGUAGGCAUUUCUGAUGGGACACCCAGCCAGCCCUGCUGUUCAGCAAGGAAAUUUCUGCCAUUCACUGAGCAGAACUGGAUCUUUACCACACAGAAGAUGGCACAACUGGUCCGACUCCACUGAUAUUCUCUUUAUAACGUGAGAAAGUAGCAGUUUUAACAAAAAGGAAAUCAAGAUUAAAUGCAACAUAUUCUGAAGGAGGAAAAAAUUCCUAGCAGCAGCUGAAAGGGAAGUGGAAUUCAUCAAUGCCUCUUUCAUCUUUAUCAAAUUACUAUUCAGUGCAGUUACAUUUAUUAAUAACAACAGCCCUUAAACCACAUUGUGAAAACCCAUUAGCAAGAAAUGCUUUAAAAUCUACAACAGGCUGAAACAGAAGGUUUAUCAAAGGCUGAAACAAUUCAACAGUAUAAGCAGAGUGGGCAUUUUUAUGGGCUGCUGAGCGUGCCAGAGCAUCACUGUGACAUAUUCACAAGUGGGCUGUUUGUGCUGUGUAACUAAAACUUGCUCUUGAAUUCAGUAACCCACAUAACCAAGAGGUAAUGCAAACUCAUGCUGUGCUUUGGAUUUUUUCCCCUCACUCCAUACAUACCUAUUGCUGCUGGCAGUUGCAGAGCUGUCAGUGCAGCACUGAGCGGGCAGUCCCACAGCUCUCACUGCUCACAGAGGGGAUGCACAGUGACUUCCCCAUAACAAAACCUGAUGAGAAGAACCUUUGGAGAGGUCAUAACUAUUCCCAUGAGAGUCAGGACCAGCCUGGAGCCGACCACCGUAUCACCCUUUAAUUUUUCAACACAGUUUACCCUGGAAGUUUACAUAUUCCCUUCUCAUUCCCUUACUUGGUUUUUUAAGAGCAGGCAGUUUGAAUGUCAAUCACUGCUGAGCAAUCUCUGAGAGGGUAUGAGAUACGGAGGUGAAAUCCAGAGGAGGGAUUCUGUCAUCAUCCUCACAGCAGAAGCUGCCAGCCAUGCCCAUUGUGCACAUCCUGCACCACUGGAGAUGUGUACACAUCCCAGGGGGGCUGUUACAGAAGGGCCGCUGCCUUGCCCUGCUCUCAGUCGCUUCCAGUUUGCAGCAGAGAACAAUAAUGGCACAGACAGCGCAGCAUUGCUGUGUGCUCAUUCCGCAGCAGUGACUGUAUCUGUCACAGCCUCCUGCUGCAUCAGGGCAACGAUGUUUCUGAAGGCAUUUUCUUUGUUGCUGAACAAGGCAAAGCCUGAGUCGGGGAAUACAGGAGAGGCGAAGGGACAGAGCGAGGGAUGCGACUGCAGCUGGGUACAAGUGGACAGCAGUGCUUGCAGAUCAGCCCAUGCACAUUCUCCUUCCAGAUCUGAUAAUUCCCCAAUUCUGUAAAAACACACCCAAGGCAGGGCUCACGAGGUGCCUGAGGCAGAUAUGCAGACUGCAACUAAAUGCAUCCCACUUCUCUGGAGGGAAAAGUCCCUUCACACCCAUAAGCUGUACAGGUAUCUCACCCCAGCAGGAUGGGCAGACUGUGCCACCUCCAACCACUCUCCGGCUCCAUCCGUCCCCACAGUGUGUUCUACUUAGGAGAGCAAAAGGGUGGCAGAACAAAUCCGUGGCAGGAUGUAUCUUCUGUAAUCGCACACAACUCAGCUUGUUAAAUUGACUGGUUUCUGUCCCAGCUGAGGUUGUAACUCCAUGAUUACUUUUGACCGAGCACAGCUAGAAAACACGUAAUUACAUGGGCCAAAGCACAGAGAAUGGUGCCCACUGCUUUGCUGGUCAAGUGCAGCACAUGAGGGGAAUAGAACCGCUUGGAAAUGAAGUGUACAUUCACACCUCACCACAUCCUCACUGCAGAGUUUACGGCUUUCAGGCUUGGGCAGCAUGAAAGGCAAAAAUCUCCCAGGAGCAGUGAUGGAUUGCGUGGCAUGAAAAAUCACAAAUGGUCAGUGCUGGGGAUGGGGGUUCCACCAUCCAGCCAGAUGCAAGCAGUCCAGGUGAGCACUGGUGAGACAGCACUUGGCAUCUCGCAGGAACGAUCCUUCUGGGCUGUAAUCCCCCCUCUCCUGGUGCAUUUUCUGUUUUCUCUGUUGUUGACCUGCAGUGAUGGAGGAAAGGGGUUGGACAUAGAUGGUGCUCUGAGCAGGAGUGGGGUCUGCUGGAGAGGGAACAGCUGUGGGGCUGGGAGGGAAACAGAGACGGGAAUGAGACAGAUACAUUUCCCCUCUGGGAGGAUGGGCUCAGGCAGCCUGAGGAAAAUAAGGCUAAAAUGAAAGGGAGGAAACCAGAGAAGAGAAGAUGGAACAAGGGAGAUCACAGAGAACAACAGGAAGCAGUGCUGAGACGACAGACAUGAAGGCUGGGCUUGUGGGAGAAAAACAAACAGAGUAAAAAAAAAAAUCAGGAAUAUUGUGCAAAAGACAGAAAGAAUUUUUUAAAAAGUCCUAUAAAAGUGCCAACUACCCAGCUGCUGUAAGUAAAACUCCAGUACACUUACGUCAACACCACACCACAGAUCAGCACCAGGGGAGGAGGUCUGGGGUUGUUUUUUAAUUGCUUGGAAAGGCUUCCAGUGAUGCAGAACGUGAAGUCCGGCUUCCACUGAUGUCAAAGGGAUUUAGAGGUGCUCACGGUCUCACAAAACCAAGACCCAGCUUGUCAAAGUGCAUGAGACAAGAUGCCGCAUUCAUCCCUCGAGAAGAGCCAGCUUUGCACAUUGCCUGACCUGCACCUCGAUGGCACACGCGUGGCAGGGACACAAGGACACAGGGACACAGCCCAGCUCUGCCCACAACACACCAGGCUUUUGCUUUGCUCUCCCUGAUGAGCAGCGAGGUCCUUGGUUUGCACAGCCAGGCGUGAGUAGGGGUAAGAGGCAUCCGCUUUGCUGGUUGAAGUGAAAUGUUUGGCUUAUUGGCACAGCUUGUUUAGAUUGGCUCCUAGCACUCAGUCGAUGUUAUUAGAGAAAGCAAUCAAAAUGCAUUAAAUACUAGGAACUACAUUAAAACAACAUGGAGCAUGCAACACAAACCAAGAAAAGCAAGGGGCUGAGUAUGGAGUCUGCCAUCCCCUCAGUCAUGAGUAUGAAUAUGGUGGAGCCAUGUCACAGCGACGUUUGGAGAGGUAGAGCUGGUGAGUUCUUGCAUGCUGCAACACGGAAGAUUUCAUCUCCUUUUCCUCUCCAAACCACAGCUUCUAGAAAGACUUUGAAAUGCUGCAGUCAGCUCCUACGCCUCCCUGCUGAGCUCCUUCCAGACUGAGCUCUUAAAUUUGCUAUGUUUUUGCCAAGACCUAAUUUUCUUUUGACCACAUAUUAAAGGGCAGAUUCCCAUGCCACAGGGAGGGACUGAGAAGUCAUAACGGACACAUCCGUCACCUGUUUGGCCAGAGAUAACUGCUCUACCCCACUUCUGCAGCUCCAUCAGACUUCUCAGUUUCUUCUUUGGCCUUGAGAUAGGUCUCCAGGGGCUCUGGGAUCCCUAACUUAUCUGUUUUGUUAACUGAUUGCAGCCACAGCCAGAUCCUCGCUUUUCUACUAUACUAUGAAAAUCACAACUGCAUGUUACACCUGGUUGAACAGCAAGGUGAUUAUUGUAAAGCCUGGAUUUCCCAAGGGAAUAAAGCUGUACAUGGAGCACUGUGUGAGCCGAAUGCGUGCAAGUAGUUCUUGAUCGUGUCAGGCUAUUUCAAGGAGACAGAGAGGAGGAUUUCUCAGAGCCCUGAAGGUCCCAGACAGACGCUGCUGAUGACAGAUGGAGGACAUGGACACCAUUAGCAUCCCCUGAGGAAAAGACAGCAGCGGAUGCUCCCUCUACACCAGACAGCAGAGAUGCCACAGAGGUGAGCGCUGUUCAUUCAACUCGCUGAUCAUGAAAUUACUCAUUAAUAAUCUCUUUGCGUGAUCGCUUUCUAAUGCCACUCCCCUUCCCCAUCUGCUUGGGGCUGCACCCUGCACAGCUGUCCGCUAACCACCUUCCUCACCCAGCUGCCCAUCACCUCCAAGGCCUCCAGCAGUGAGCCAUCCACGUGUUGCUGCAGCAGCGUAGCAGGGAAACCGGAGAGAGGAUCAACACACGAGGCGCUGGGAGCUGCAGCGGGGCAACAGCUGUCCCUCAGCACAUCCAUUGUUCUUGUGCAGAGAAGCAGCUUUAAGAAAGUGGUGUAAAUUACAGGAACUGGAUCACUGGCUUGAACAAUGUCAGCACGUCCCUUCGAGGGCAUUCACUCCCCCCACGCCAUGAAACGACAAGUUAUUAUUUAACAGCAGACCUCACACAGAGGAAUGUUUUUCUGUAUUCAUGACCUCUAACAAGUAUAGCAAUUGUUUACUAUACUCUGAGUGAUCCAGAAGGAGCUAUAAUGUGAUAAUUAUAGAGAAACCUUCCUAAAAAUAUAUUUCUGAUGCAUCAGCAAAAACUCGGCAGGCCCCUCCAGCUGGCACUGCACAUAUGAGUUAAGCCCAAUUUGAGAAUCAGAUCAUGCACUACAUUUUGUGCAGCUGUGCAGACUCCAACGAGAAGCUCUGGAGCAGAUGUCUUGUAGCAAUCAGGCAGGGCAUGAAGAAGCAGAGAAGCAGAAGAGGCCAAAGCCACGUUUCUUGACUGAGUGGUCAGUGACAUAGGAAAGCAUCAGUUCCAUUUUCAAGUUGGAUAAACUGAGGCUCUGGAAAUCAGAACACCGGCAUUUUCUAAGCUGCUCUCUGACUGGUUGGUGUCUGAUGUUAGAGGUCCAGCUCGACUCCAGGCUGCGCCUGCUUCCCCACAACUACUGAGCCUCUGCAUUUUUCAUGAAGGGAUACAAUUCAUUACAGUGAUUUUUUGUUCCGACACGCUGCAUUUGUACACCUGCUCCAUGAUCAGCGCUUCCAAACCCCAGCAACGCUCUUUGAAGAAACACCCAGAAAGGCCUCAAGAUGUUCCUGCCUUGCAGCCAAGCCACCGAAAAGCCAACCUGCUGCUGCUGCCCAGAGCCCUGAGGCUGACCUGACCCCUCUGCUGCUGUUUCCGCUGAUCAGACUGUGAAGGGAAGCCAGCGCACAGGUGUUUGUUUUCUUUGCCCAGCACAGCACUUCCCUGAAGACAAGCUGGGACUUCACAGUCUCUGUAGCUCCUUGGCAGCAUCUGCAGUCUUCUGUGCCUCAGUUUCCUCACCUACAGAAAGGCCCACAUGACAAACCCUGAACCCAGGGCUGUGUUAAAGUUUGGAAAACACACAGCACCUUGAAAGAGGGCUUCUAUGGAAGCACAAACAGUCCUUUAUUGCUUCAAUUAAAAAGAGCGUGUUUUACAAUCCACAGUCUGUUUAUACUUGCACUUCUUAUGGAUAUCUCUGAAAAGAACCCAGCCUCAGCAGCUCAUGGAUUUGGCACAGCACGCCAAAUAAUAAGCAGGCUCACCAACCCUUCUACAACACACAGUGCUUCUGUGUAACUUUGCAGGCUGUGUUUGACUUGCCUGAACUUGAACAGUCACCACUGAUUGAUUGGCUUCUAAAAAUACACAUAUGCCAUGGUUCGGAGUCCAGAGAGCUUCUGUUGAUUUAGAUGGAGACCUUGCUGGGAAGAGGCUAAGACAGACACCUGACACCAGGGUGCUGCUGUGCCGGCCACUUGCUGCCGACUGCACAGGGUGCUCUGAAUGCAGGGCUCCACCACGCUCAGCAGCCCUCCAUACCUCAGAGUGGGGAAAAAAGCAGAAAGAAAGCAGCCGUAUGGAUCCCUUCCCUUCCUGCAACUCCAUUUCCAGGCUGCCCUGCAGCUGUUGGUGAUAAGCAGAGUGAACCUGCACAUAUCCUGCCAGAGGGCUGAGCUCAGGUGCUGAGCACCUGCGGCUCCCAGCAGUCAGGGGGGUGCUCAGUGCCCUGCUGAGCUGGGGGGGCUCCCAGCAGGGAUGUGACUCCUGCAAGGGAGAUGCAUUGCACUGUACCCUGGAGGAGGCUGCAAGCACAUGAUUAUUGCAACAGAAGCCGCUAGGAGAAAAAACAGAUUACCAUUUCCAUUGGAGGUAAUAGGUGCCAUGUUGAUUUAUAAACCUGUCACUGCUGGCCAUUAAGCAAACGCUGUUGCAGCUCCUAGAUCCCAUUCCGGAGCACACUGAGUAAGCUGCAGUCUCUGGCACAAUGUCUUGGAGAGCUCCACUGUAGGGCAUAGGGCCACAGCUUCUCCCUGUAGUGACCAUGAUGUUAGCACUCCCAGUUACAUGCACCCACAUCGCUACAGCUGAAGCUUCAAAAUACAUUUUGGAAAGGGAAGGAGGUGUGGGGCUGCAGGGAGCCAUGGCACAGAGCAGAGGAGCUCAAGCAGCUGAAGCUUGCCACAGGGAAACUGCAGAAAGUCAGGAGCAAAGCAAAGCAGUGUCUGUGCAUUCUGGGUGUGAUGCACUGACAGCAGCAUGCUGGGCACUGGUGAGGAACGCAGCAACACCAGGUUUGCUAAAGAAGUGAAACUGAGACAGUUUCCAGCACUGUGCCCAUGCUGGCAGGUCUCAGGGCCACUCUGCUCACUUACCUGCUGACAUCGGAGCUAACAAAAGACAAAGCAGAGUGCAGUCAAAUAUAUACACUGGAUGUUGCCAUGCUACUGAAUGCAGCUUAGCACAGCAGGACUUUUUCUAAAUGAUGUAUUGUAGCUGAGCUAAAACCUAAAUAAUAAUGCUUACUUUGGCUCUCUGGAAGAUCACAGCUAGACAGCAGCCUGUGGAAUACCACGGCUAGUGGAAGAAAUCAUCGGUAUUCUAGGAGCACAUGGGACUGGAGAUGAUCACUGCAGCCAGACUCCUCUUUCACAGCAUCACAUGCCAGCUCAUUUGUGUGUGGGUUAUGCAAUGGAACCCGGCCCUGCUCUCCUGAUGCAACGUCUUGCAGAAGCUGGUUGCUCCAAGACUCAGAACCCUCAUUUCCAGCGUGAGUGGAAGUUUACAGUCACUCUGUCAUCCAAAGAUUUAUUGUCAUUUAUGUAAUGUUCUUCCUUCUGCUGUAUCUACAGAAACCAGUGCCCUCUCUUCAGCUCUGCCACACCGAACAUCCCACAUGGUCACUUCUGUGUCACUCACUGUCCCAGUCAUCUUCUGAGUUCUGCUUUGGAUUCCUCCUUCCCAAAGACAGCUGAUGGGAAUUGGCUGUGACUUUCCAGAUGGAGGCUGAGCAGUUCCUUGUAUGGUGGCAGAAGUGCUUCCCCAUCUUUACUGGAAAUAUCCUGCCUAAUAAACCCGAUGAUCUCACUUGGCUUUUGUGUUCAGUUUUAAAAGAG